GUCCUCCAGCCAUGGACGCGCCCAUAUACCACCCCUGAACCACCCCCCUCUGCCAGCACGCAACUAUGACCUGAAUGAAAUGCCACGGUACACCCCACCUCCAGGAAACACUGAUCUGCGCCCCCCAUCAAGAAGAAGCCAAAAGCCAGAGCCUGCUGAGCCUCUUCCUGUAGAAAUGAGAGGACAUCUUGUAUGAGGCACCUUGGGAAAUUAUAUGUCCAAAGAUUAUACCAUAACUUGUAGUGGUGGAGGAAGUUGAUAGUGGCAGUGGAGAAGAUAUUGACUUAUGAAUAAUGAGAAUAUUUUUGUGUCAUACUCAUUGAACUGUGGAUAAGUGGAAGUGGAGAUAUUUUGAUAAAGACACGCUUUUUUGUUUUAAGUGAAAUUUGAAUUUAUAGUAUGUAUGAUCUCAACCCUGAAAAAAGGGAAAUCCGAAGUCUCAUUUGGUAUAGUUGUUUACAUAUAUUUCGUUUCAUGUUUUGUUGAACCUAGUGUGUAAGUUGUUAUUGGCAGGCUUGCUCAUUUCAUGGUUGAACCAUGUGGGAACACGGCAACAAAGAUGCCAUUGUUACUGCAGUGUUAUUUGUAUUAUAUAACUACAGGGCUUCUCCAAGGUUGUCCACUAAGUCAAGUGUGGAUAUCGCCCCAAGUGUUUAGGGGAAGGGCGUAUGGCUGGUGCUAUCUGACUGAGGGAACUAGUUAUGAGUGCUUGCUUUAGUUAAAGAAACUCACAAGUAAGAAAAUAUUAUCUUUAUAUUGUUUUCUUAUACUCAAAGGAGGGUAAAAAUUAUCACUUAUUAAACUUGCUGAUCAGUUAUUUAGGAUCCCAUAAAAUAAACAAAUUACUUUUUUGUAGCAAUUUAUGGGCAUGAGUAUCUUUGUAGGGCAGUAUUUUCAAAGUGAACUUUCAAAGAGAUUUGUCUCCUCAUGGAGCAUUUGAGAAGUUCAGAAAUUCAAAUCGACAAGAUGGUGUGUAUCUCAAAAGAGUUUCACCAAGAAUUGCUAAAAAAUAAGUAAGAAUUGUGCACAGAUGAGCAUUUACAUACUGUGCCUCAAUUAUGCACUCUAUCAAUGAGAUAAAAAAACUUUUAUCUUGUUGUAAUUAUUGUUAAGUCUGUCAUUCUUCUCAUUUUUACAACAGCAUUUAUUUGUACAGCUGUUUAUUAUUAUUAUUAUUAUUAGGAUUCGCCCUCAUCAGGGUAUCCGUCCAACCCCACUGUACAGGUUUGGCAGGUCCUUCUCAAAAGAUGGCGGCACUAGUAAACUGUUUUUAUCUCAGCUUUUAUUUUUAAAAAAGAAAGUUUGGCAUCCUGUUUUAAAACUUUAACAAGAAUUGCAUUAAGGGUUACUCUGCAGGAAGAUUUCUUACUGAUUUGAAAUUCAAAAAA